AGCUCCAAUAGCGCACAUUAAAGUUGUUACAGUUAAAAAGCUCGUAGUUGGAUUUCUGGUAGAAGUAGCGACCUUGGGUCUUUGAACUAUGAAGUUGCUAUCUUCAACCAUCCUUGAAGAGAUUUAGUUUGGUAUUAAGUUGUCGAACUAAAGAUAUUCAUCUUUUACUGUAAAAAUCAGAACGUUCAAAGUAAGCAUUUAGCUUUGAAUGCAUUAGCAUGGAAUAAUGAAAUAGGACUUAUGUACUACUUUGUUGGCUUAUGCACCUAGGUAAUGAUUAAUAGGGAUAGUUCGGGGAAUUCACAUUCCAAUGUUAGAGGUGAAAUUCUUGGAUUUUUGGAAGACGAACAACUGCGAAAGAAUUUACCAAGGAUGUUUUCA
rnacentral:rRNA from 1 species